UACGUAGGGUGCAAGCGUUGUCCGGAAUUAUUGGGCGUAAAGAGCUCGUAGGCGGUCUGUCGCGUCGGAUGUGAAAAUCCAGGGCUCAACCCUGGACCUGCAUUCGAUACGGGCAGACUAGAGUUCGGCAGGGGAGACUGGAAUUCCUGGUGUAGCGGUGAAAUGCGCAGAUAUCAGGAAGAACACCGAUGGCGAAGGCAGUUCUCUGGGCCGUAACUGACGCUGAGGAGCGAAAGCGUGGGGAGCGAACAGG
rnacentral:rRNA from 1 species